GUGCUUGCUUCUGCAGGACAUAUGCUAACAUUGGACCAUUCAGAGAGGAUGAGCAUUGCCCCUGCGCAAGAUGACAGGCAAAUUCUUGAAGGUUCCAUAUUUUU